rnacentral:rRNA from 1 species
UUUUAUCAGAAAUUAUUGAUAAUAAAAUCUGCUCAAUGUAAUUAAAUAGCCGCAAUUGUGCUAAGGUAGUAUAAUCACUUGUCUUCUAAUUUAAGACUAGAACAAAAGAUUUAACACUUGAAUAAAUAUAAAAAUUUAUUAUUUUAAAUUAUUUUUAAUGUAAAAAAACAUUAAUUUAUAAAAUAGACGAUAAGACCCUAUUGAACUUCACUUUAGUUAAACUGGGGAAGUUAAUUAAUUAUUAUUUUAAAAAUAAUUAAUCAAUAAAUGACCUAAUAAAAUUAAUUUCAUGAACAAGUUACCAUAGGGAUAACAGUGUAAUAUUAUUUUCAAGAUCUUAUUUAAAAUAAUGAUUGCAACCUCGAUGUUGACUAAUACUCCUUAAUAAUGCAAUAAUUAUUAUAGGAAGUCUGUUCGACUUUUAAAUAAUUACA